rnacentral:rRNA from 1 species
GAUGAACGCUGGCGGCGUGCCUAAUACAUGCAAGUCGAGCGAACGGACGAGAAGCUUUCUUCUCUGAUGUUAGCGGCGGACGGGUGAGUAACACGUGGAUAACCUACCUAUAAGACUGGGAUAACUUCGGGAAACCAGAGCUAAUACCGGAUGAUAUUUUGAACCGCAUGGUUCAAAAGUGAAAGACGGUCUUGCUGUCACUUAUAGAUGGAUCCGCGCUGCAUUAGCUAGUUGGUAAGGUAACGGCUUACCAAGGCAACGAUGCAUAGCCGACCUGAGAGGGUGAUCGGCCACACUGGAACUGAGACACGGUCCAGACUCCUACGGGAGGCAGCAGUAGGGAAUCUUGCGCAAUGGGCGAAAGCCUGACGGAGCAACGCCGCGUGAGUGAUGAAGGUCUUCGGAUCGUAAAACUCUGUUAUUAGGGAAGAACAUAUGUGUAAGUAACUGUGGACAUCUUGACGGUACCUAAUCAGAAAGCCACGGCUAACUACGUG